AUCCCGCUGCGGCGGCGGCUGUGGAGGUCGGUCGGUAGCCGGCCGCGUUGCCCGCUGGCGCUCCGCCAUGUGGUUGCUGACCGUCGGAGCGCUCCUCGCCGUCCUGGGCGCAGGUUCCACCCAGCUGGUGUUUAACGCAGUAGAUUUUGUUGAGAAAUAUGCCUGUAACGAUACAGUUGUUUUACCUUGCAUCGUGACUAACCUGAAGGAGAACAAUGACAGCAGCAUGCAUGUUUCGUGGAAGAGGCAAGGACAAGUAAUUUUUUCUUUUAAUGGACCAGAACAGCGCAUUUACAGGCACGAGUCAGUUCCAUCAGCUAACUUCCUUUCUAAGGCGGAUUUAUUUAAGGGUAUUGCCUCGCUACGACUUAAAAAUGCAGAAGCACCGGAUGGAAAUUACAGCUGUGAAGUAACAGAAUUAAACAGAGAAGGAGAAACAAAGAUGAAACUUAGAACUCACAUGGUUGACAGUUGCGACGAGGAAAAACCUCCAACACCAGUGGAUAAGUGUGAACGACAGUUCGACUUUAUCCAAAGUAUUGUCAUCGCAGUGUUGCUGUUCUUCAUUAUUAUUCUUUGCUGGGCUCAGUUAGGUGUUAUUGCGUUGAAAUGUGAAACUGUUCGUAAGAAGAAAAGGCACAUUACUAUAGCAUGUAGCAUCUUCACAGUCGUUGCUAUUGUAGCUGUUGUGCUUUUUAUCCAAGAUGGCAGUAUUAGCAUGAAUCAAAUUGGUCUUGCUUUUACCAUACUACCUGCUGGGCUGCUGAUGGUGCUUCAAUAUUCUAUAUUUAAAAUGGUCCUGGAUGAUCUAACACACAAAGGAUAUGCUCUGAUAGGCUUUCAAGUUGUGGGUUACAUAGUUGCUGUAGUUGGCUUUGCACUGUCUGUCUCAGCCUGUCCUUCAGUCCUUCUGUCUGUUGUAAUUGCCGGCUUAGUUGUUAUGGCUGUUGCGGAUCUUCUUGCUCUGGCUUAUGUCUAUAGUUGUUCCAGAAUGAAAGAUCAUCAAACUCCAAGGAAUCACUACUUACUGUAUAUGUCAAUUAGAGUAAUUUAACUGUGGCGAGCCAAAAGUAAACAUGAAGACAUUUUAUACAUAUAUAUAUUUUUAAAUGUUUUGCAGAAAGCUGUAGAAGAACCACUAAAUGAUACAAAAGGAGUGAUGUUAGAGUGAUGUAUUAAAGACAGAGACCGAACCUACUGCAGAAAUGAGUGAUGUGUGAGAAGUACACCAUUGUUUAUACGCCGUGGCCUUGAAGAUGCACUACUCAAAGAGAAGAAAUUCAGGAAACUCGUUGUUUUGCAUGUGUGGCAAAAGUGCUUUUGAUAUAAAUGAUGUAAUUUUAUAUAGUCACAGCAGGAACAUGUGUGUUUGCCCAAGCGUGACCUUUAUUUCUUUUGUUAUGGUAUAUAUGGUGUGGUUGAGGGUGAGAAUAUAAAAAGCACUGUUUGCCCACUACAGCAGCUCCCUGCAGUAUACUUAGUGGUAUUACUUUCAAAAACCAUCAUCAGUCACUGCUUUGAUAAUGGGCCUGCUCAGCCCAAAGAUUGCAGUUCCAUUUAGACUAUUGUUUUUAUUUGUGUGCAUGGGCAAGGUAUGGUAGUAAUGUCUGUGAUACAAGCAGGAAGCAGGGAUUGUACAAAUACUUUUUCCAACGUUCAGCAAAACUUUUAUAUAAAAAAGAAAAUGCUUAGACACAAAGUUGUAUAGACGCCAAUUUUACUGCCAGCUCUCCUUAAGAGAUUAACCAAGACAUCUUAAUUCCACAGAACGAUAACAUUCUUGUCAAUAGACAGCGCUCAUGUACGCUGUGGUGGCCAAUACUUUAGUCUGGUGUGAGAGCUCUCAGUGCCUCUUAUGUUUUCUUUGAGCAGCAGCUCAGCUCUUGGAGCCUAAUUCAGCACGGGAAUUAAAGAGCAUUUAGUAAUUUUCACACUGAAUGUGGUUUGUGUGUUUGUUCAUGUCGUGGAGUUUGUGGUACUGGAACCACACAGAGUUUCAGGCUCUCUUAAUGAGUGUAUCUGUAAAACACGUUGAUGCUUCGGAAGAAAUGAAAUUGUCCUUUUAGUGUUUUUAGCAAUUUUAAAUCUCCUUUCUUGAAUGGAGAUAGGAGUUAUUUCAUUUCUGACCCAAAUUUGUGUUCAUGUUAUGUCACAAAUGCAUAGAAUAGAAUUUGCGUAGGAGGUGUUGAUGAGAAGCGAGGAGGCUUGGUUGCUGUUAUACGUAAGUGGCACAGAUAAAAAUCCACAUAGGACUGAUUCUAUAGAACCUUCACAUUCCAUGAGAUUUUAGUGUUUUACAGCUGUUUGGAGAGUCGUUCCAAUGUAGCUGGCUUCUCUUGAACUUCCUUUACAGUUUGCAGAACACUUCUCCCCAGCUCCCACUUGUGCUAGGCUGGUUUCAAAGGCACACGUGGUUCCCUCCUAAUGAUUCUAAACUUGGUUUAGAAAGCUGUUGCUGAACAGUAGUGUAAUAAUAACAUCUAUGUCUUCAGUUGUUCUGAAUAUUAUAACAAGUUUCAGGCUUGGAUGUUAUGAAACAAGGGUUUGUAGCUGUGCUGUGGAUCUGUGUUGCAGACAUCCACUUGCAGGCUCCAAGGCUCAGUGCAGACAGUUCGCAUUGGGGAUUCAAUUAAAUGAAAUUGAAGUAUCCCAUCUUAGAAUAUUCACUCUAGCAGUCCUCUUGCAAGGGCUGCAGGACUGAACCACCAAAGCAGCCCUUGGUCCAGUCCUCCCUAAAAUAAGUGCAAUUGGCCACAGUGCAGACAGUUACUUGUGAUUAAGUGUUUAAGAAGCAAAUACAAUUCACUUGUUUGUCAGUGGGAAUAUUCCUGUCAGAUUUCAGCUCCAAGUAUAUGAAUCUUUUCAAUACAGGUCUUUCAAUAGUCAUAGCAACCCACCUAGAGAUGGGAGACGUUUCUCUCUUGUUAACAAUUCAAUAUCUGAAUUUAAUCUGAUUGAGAUUUGCUCCUCGUUUGUUAAUGAUUCUUUUUGGUUUGUUGUAAGUAGAACAGUUGAGGAAUCGAAUAAAACAAACACACUGGAAUUCUCUUGAGCUAUCCUGCCUUACAAAAAAAUAAAAAAUAAAACCCACAUAUAAUAGCUUUAUGACAACUACUGUAAAGGAAAUUGCAGUAGAAUCCGUUGUGUGUCUCUGUGGUGAUGAGGGCAGGCUGUUACUAGGGUACUACUGAAACAUUUAGGACUCAGUGGCUGUGUACAGCCUGCCGAAUCAGUUGCUCCAGAAAUGAGAGAAACCCAGUGUGCUGUUGCUAAGGGCUCCCCUCUGGGUUUCUUGGAGGUGCACAUUUAACAGUGAGAGUUUCAAAAGUCAUUGAUCUGCCCAGCCCUUUCCCACCAGUAAUUAAAACCAAAGUUCACAACUGUAUGACACCAUUCGUGUUUGUAUGUAUGCGUGUGUAUAUAUAUAAAUGCAUAGACAUUUUAAAUAUCUAUAGUCUUUACUCGAGAAUAUGUUUUUAUUUAUGAAACAUGAAAUUAUUUUGUAAAUAUUGUGCUAAUAUACUGAAAUAAAGUCAUUUUAAGUUGUUUUUGUCAAA